rnacentral:rRNA from 1 species
UACGUAUGGUGCAAGCGUUAUCCGGAUUUACUGGGUGUAAAGGGAGCGCAGGCGGUGCGGCAAGUCUGAUGUGAAAGCCCAGGGCUCAACCCCGGUACUGCAUUGGAAACUGUCGUACUAGAGUGUCGGAGGGGUAAGCGGAAUUCCUAGUGUAGCGGUGAAAUGCGUAGAUAUUAGGAGGAACACCAGUGGCGAAGGCGGCUUACUGGACGAUAACUGACGCUGAGGCUCGAAAGCGUGGGGAGCAAACAGG